AGAGUAGGCCAGACAGUCGCGUGAUUCAGUUCACGAGGAAAGUCCGGGCUCCAUAGGGUAAGGGUGCCAGAUAACGCCUGGUGAAGGUAACUUUAAGGAAAGUGCAACAGAAACAUACCGCCGAAGGGUUAAGACCCUGGUAAGGUUGAAAUGGUGAGGUAAGAGCUCACCGGCAAUAUGGUAACAUAUUGGCCGUGUAAACCCCACUCGGAGCAAGACCAAAUAGGGCG
rnacentral:RNase_P_RNA from 1 species